rnacentral:rRNA from 1 species
AUUGAACGCUGGCGGCAGGCCUAACACAUGCAAGUCGAGCGGUAACACAGAGAGCUUGCUCUCGGGUGACGAGCGGCGGACGGGUGAGUAAUGUCUGGGAAACUGCCUGAUGGAGGGGGAUAACUACUGGAAACGGUAGCUAAUACCGCAUAACGUCGCAAGACCAAAGAGGGGGACCUUCGGGCCUCUUGCCAUCAGAUGUGCCCAGAUGGGAUUAGCUAGUAGGUGGGGUAACGGCUCACCUAGGCGACGCUCCCUAGCUGGUCUGAGAGGAUGACCGGCCACACUGGAACUGAGACACGGUCAAGAGUCCUACGGGAGGCAGCAGUGGGGAAUAUUGCACAAUGGGCGCAAGCCUGAUGCAGCCAUGCCGCGUGUAUGAAGAAGGCCUUCGGGUUGUAAAGUACUUUCAGCGGGGAGGAAGGCGAUAAGGUUAAUAACCUUGUCGAUUGACGUUACCCGCAGAAGAAGCACCGGCUAACUCCGUGCCAGCAGCCGCCGUAA